rnacentral:rRNA from 2 species
GCCUACAACAUGCAAGUCGAGCGAACAGAUGAGAAGCUUGCUUCUCUGAUGUUAGCGGCGGACGGGUGAGUAACACGUGGGUAACCUACCUAUAAGACUGGGAUAACUCCGGGAAACCGGGGCUAAUACCGGAUAAUAUUUUGAACCGCAUGGUUCAAUAGUGAAAGACGGUUUCGGCUGUCACUUAUAGAUGGACCCGCGCCGUAUUAGCUAGUUGGUAAGGUAACGGCUUACCAAGGCGACGAUACGUAGCCGACCUGAGAGGGUGAUCGGCCACACUGGAACUGAGACACGGUCCAGACUCCUACGGGAGGCAGCAGUAGGGAAUCUUCCGCAAUGGGCGCCAGCCUGACGGAGCAACGCCGCGUGAGUGAUGAAGGUCUUCGGAUCGUAAAACUCUGUUGUUAGGGAAGAACAAAUUUGUUAGUAACUGAACAAGUCUUGACGGUACCUAACCAGAUAGCCACGGCUAACUACGUGCCAGCAGCCGCGGUAAUACGUAGGUGGCAAGCGUUAUCCGGAAUUAUUGGGCGUAAAGCGCGCGUAGGCGGUUUCUUAAGUCUGAUGUGAAAGCCCACGGCUCAACCGUGGAGGGUCAUUGGAAACUGGGAAACUUGAGUGCAGAAGAGCAGAGUGGAAUUCCAUGUGUAGCGGUGAAAUGCGCAGAGAUAUGGAGGAACACACGUGGCGAAGGCGGCUCUCUGGUCUGUAACUGACGCUGAUGUGCGAAAGCGUGGGGAUCAAACAGGAUUAGAUACCCUGGUAGUCCACGCCGUAAACGAUGAGUGCUAAGUGUUAGGGGGUUUCCGCCCCUUAGUGCUGCAGCUAACGCAUUAAGCACUCCGCCUGGGGAGUACGACCGCAAGGUUGAAACUCAAAGGAAUUGACGGGGACCCGCACAAGCGGUGGAGCAUGUGGUUUAAUUCGAAGCAACGCGAAGAACCUUACCAAAUCUUGACAUCCUUUGACCGCUCUAGAGAUAGAGUCUUCCCCUUCGGGGGACAAAGUGACAGGUGGUGCAUGGUUGUCGUCAGCUCGUGUCGUGAGAUGCUGGGUUAAGUCCCGCAACGAGCGCAACCCUUAAGCUUAGUUGCCAUCAUUAAGUUGGGCACUCUAGGUUGACUGCCGGUGACAAACCGGAGGAAGGUGGGGAUGACGUCAAAUCAUCAUGCCCCUUAUGAUUUGGGCUACACACGUGCUACAAUGGAUAAUACAAAGGGCAGCGAAUCCGCGAGGCCAAGCAAAUCCCAUAAAAUUAUUCUCAGUUCGGAUUGUAGUCUGCAACUCGACUACAUGAAGCUGGAAUCGCUAGUAAUCGUAGAUCAGCAUGCUACGGUGAAUACGUUCGCCGGGUCUUGUACACACCGCCCGUCACACCACGGAGAGUU